rnacentral:lncRNA from 1 species
UUAAACAUUCAUCAUAUUAAUUUGAAACAUUUUAUCAAAAAUAAAUACUCAAGAACUAAAAGAUGAACUACUCAUACAACAGGAAACUCAAAUUACAACUAAAUGGCCUUUCAAUUAAAUUACAACCAUAAUAAGAACAAAAUUACAGAAUUAUAACUGAUUGAAUUUACUGCACUUGAUGAACUACUAUAACAACUACAACCCACAAUUUCAUUAACGUGAAAGCUAUGUUCCCAUUCCGGCCUAGCCUGGGCUUGUUAACUUAAUCAAUCUGAAUCCACAGCACUUCAUUCACUUCAUUACUAUCUGAUUUGGGCUCAAAAUUUGUCCAGUAAUGGAUUUGAUCAACUGGUGAUCAAAUCCAAUGUCUUAAAUCAACUGGUGAUCAAAUACUGUUUCAAACAUACUAUUACUACUUAAAUGAAUCUGGACCGUGUCUUAAAUAGCAGUAUCAAUACACCCUACACUAUUAACUCAAACAAUGGUAGUUAAGACAUAAAACACUUCAACAGAAAACAUAGAUGAGCACAUCAGUGUAGAUUUUAGAAAACUGUAACGACCUAAAACUUAACUACAUAACAUGGCUGGCAGAAUUAGAUUUGUACAUGUUAAACACAUAAGAACACACAAUGAACUCUACUCAAAACAAAUAGUAAACAACUACAAUUACAUUAAGUAUUUCAUUACUUCAAAACAAAACUACAUUUAUUGGAGGUCAAAGCAAUACAAUUAGUAGCAGCAAAGCAAAAGAAACAGAAAAUAAAUCUCUGAAUUUGGGAGACCGCUAAACAAAGAUUCCACCACAGCUUGAUGAUAACAGCAGCAAAUAGCAGGGAUUGAAGCUCGACUCAAACCCAGAAAACCAGACAAUCUCAGUAAUAUAGGAAAAGAAAGCAGGAGAUUAAGAUGGAUCCUAAAUCUUCAUUUUUUUGGUAUUAAAAUGGAAUCCCAUACUGUCUUUUGGAGAAGAAAUCAGUAUGAGAGCAGAAAAAAUGAAAAAAUCAAGAGUGAAUUCUCUAUCUUUUUGUGAGUGAAUAUGCAGAUGAUUAACGUCUGUGUGAAGGGUGUAUAUAUGUUGAAUGCUGAAUGAAAGAGGGUUCUGUCAGGAAAGGAAUAUUCAACGUGAAAAGGGGAAAGAUCAGAGAGGGAAGGGAAUCAUUUUGUAACUCAAAUUGCCAGCUGUUACUUCUAGAAGCAGACUAUCUGCUUAGGUCGGGGCCAAGUGCCAUGGCCAAAUGGCCCAAGACAGGCCCAAAUCCGAAUUCAUGGAAGAAACCCAAAAACAGAAAAAUCAAAAAUAACAAAGCCAUAUCUUGAACUCUAAAUCUAAUCAACAAUUUCACUAAAUGCUAACUCUUAAUUAACUAAAUCAAUUUAUUAACUAUUCUAAAUGACCAUGCAAUCAAAAAUUAGAACUUAAUUAAUCAAUCAAAAAAGAAAAGAAAAAAGAAAAAGAAAAACACAAUCAACAAACGGAUAGGAAAGAUGAGUGGAUAUACCCAUUUAACCUUAAGAAACAACGAUCGAAGCAACAAUGGCGGACGAAGGCAGUGGCGAAAUAUGACCGGACUCCGGUGGCCAAGUGAUGAGUCAAAAACUGCCAUCAAUAGAUUGUUCUUAUCAAGAGCAAUCGACUGAUGUCGAUUUCGAACCCAAAUGACCUAAAACAAAAAUCAAACAGGGACGGCUAGGGUUUGAUUUCCAGAUCCGAAAUUUAAUGAUUUAGACGGGGAUUUUGGAGAAAGUGGUGGUGUAUCGUGGAAAGAUGCGAGAUGAGGAGUGUAGGGUGUUAAUUUGAGGGUGAUUGGAGACGGGCCACCGGAGAAGGGUGUUGGGGCGGCUAGGAUUUUAGAGAGAGAGGUGAGAGGGAAUGAGGAAGAUGAU